AGUGAACGCUGGCGGUAGGCCUAACACAUGCAAGUCGAACGGCAGCACAGUAAGAGCUUGCUCUUACGGGUGGCGAGUGGCGGACGGGUGAGGAAUACAUCGGAAUCUACUUUUUCGUGGGGGAUAACGUAGGGAAACUUACGCUAAUACCGCAUACGACCUACGGGUGAAAGCAGGGGAUCUUCGGACCUUGCGCGAUUGAAUGAGCCGAUGUCGGAUUAGCUAGUUGGCGGGGUAAAGGCCCACCAAGGCGACGAUCCGUAGCUGGUCUGAGAGGAUGAUCAGCCAGACUGGAACUGAGACACGGUCCAGACUCCUACGGGAGGCAGCAGUGGGGAAUAUUGGACAAUGGGCGCAAGUCUGAUCCAGCCAUACCGCGUGGGUGAAGAAGGCCUUCGGGUUGUAAAGCCCUUUUGUUGGGAAAGAAAAGCAGCAGGUUAAUACCCCGCUGUUCUGACGGUACCCAAAGAAUAAGCACCGGCUAACUUCGUG
rnacentral:rRNA from 1 species